CCUACGGGAGGCAGCAGUGGGGAAUAUUGGGCAAUGGGUGCAAGCCUGACCCAGCAACGCCGCGUGAAGGAAGAAGGCUUUCGGGUCGUAAACUUCUUUUCUCAGGGACGAAGAAAGUGACGGUACCUGAGGAAUAAGCCACGGCUAAAUACGUGACAGCAGCCACGGUAAUUCGUGGGGGGCAAGCGCUAUCCGGCUUGAUUGGGUGUAAAGGUCGUGUAGGCGGGAGCGCAAGUCAGAUGCGAAAACUCAGGGCUCAACCCUGAGCCUGCAUUUGAAACUGUGUUUCUUGAGUGCUGGAGGGGCGAUCGGAAUUCCGUGUGUAGCGGUGAAAUGCGUAGAUAUACGGAGGAACACCAGUGGCGAAGGCGGAUUGCUGGACAGUAACUGACGCUGAGGCGCGAAAGCGUGGGGAGCAAACAGGAUUAGAUACCCCAGUAGUC
rnacentral:rRNA from 1 species